ACCGCGGUAGCCCAGUUGGUAGUGGCGUCGGCAGUACAGAUGCCGAGACCGCGGGUUAAAAUCCUGCCUGCGGUG